ensembl:lncRNA
AUAGAGUAUAACUUGUUUUUGUUAAAGUAUUGUAUUUUUCAUUAAUUAAAAUAUUUGUAUUAUUAUUAUUAUUGCAUUUCUACUUUGACGGUAAGCUGGUCCUGUUGUUGUGCGUGUGUUCGUUUCUAUGCCUGUAUAGGCAUCCAGCGGGGCUUGGUCCUACACAGGCUUGGUCCUACACAGGCUUGGUCCUACACAUGCUUGGUCCUACACAGGCUUGGUCCUACACAGGCUUGGUCCUACACAGGCUUGGUCCUACACAUGCUUGAUCCUACACAGGCUUGGUCCUACACAUGCUUGGUCCUACACAGGCCUGGUCCUACACAGGCUUGGUCCUACACAGGCUUGGUCCUACACAUGCUUGGUCCUACACAGGCUUGGUCCUACACAGGCUUGGUCCUACACAUGCUUGGUCCUACACAGGCCUGGUCCUACACAUGCUUGGUCCUACACAUGCUUGGUCCUACACAGGCUUGGUCCUACACAGGCUUGGUCCUACACAGGCCUGGUCCUACACAGGCCUGAUCCUACACAUGCUUGGUCCUACACAUGCUUGGUCCUACACAGGCUUGGUCCUACACAUGCUUGGUCCUACACAGGCUUGGUCCUACACAGGCCUGGUCCUACUUUAAAAGUAUAUAGUAGCCUACACUGCCAGAAAAGUACAUAGGUUGCUUGUACAGCUAGGGUCCUAAAGUGGCACAGACCCAAUUCACUCCAUAUAGGAUGGACACAUUUAAUAAAGCAGAAAAAGUAAAAAGCAUUACAUUCACAGGCUAUAGUAACCCAGUAAGAUCCAAUCGUGACAAUUCAAUAACACAGAUACACAACUUCCCAUUGCAAAGACAUUAUAGUAAAU